CGAACGGGCUCAUAUUGAAACCUAGUGAUGUAUGAGUUAGUGGCGGACGGGUGAGUAACGCGUGGAGAACCUGCCGUAUACUGGGGGAUAACACUUAGAAAUAGGUGCUAAUACCGCAUAAGCGCACAGCUUCGCAUGAAGCAGUGUGAAAAACUCCGGUGGUAUACGAUGGAUCCGCGUCUGAUUAGCUGGUUGGCGGGGUAACAGCCCACCAAGGCGACGAUCAGUAGCCGGCCUGAGAGGGUGAACGGCCACAUUGGGACUGAGACACGGCCCAAACUCCUACGGGAGGCAGCAGUGGGGAAUAUUGCACAAUGGGGGAAACCCUGAUGCAGCGACGCCGCGUGAGUGAAGAAGUAUUUCGGUAUGUAAAGCUCUAUCAGCAGGGAAGAAAUACUGACCUUACGGUCAGCAGACGGUACCUGACUAAGAAGCCCCGGCUAACUACGUGCCAGCAGCCGCGGUAAUACGUAGGGGGCAAGCGUUAUCCGGAUUUACUGGGUGUAAAGGGAGCGUAGACGGCAGCGCAAGUCUGAAGUGAAAUCCCAUGGCUUAACCAUGGAACUGCUUUGGAAACUGUGCAGCUGGAGUGCAGGAGAGGUAAGCGGAAUUCCUAGUGUAGCGGUGAAAUGCGUAG
rnacentral:rRNA from 1 species